rnacentral:rRNA from 1 species
GUCGAGCGGCGGACGGGUGAGUAAUGCAUAGGAAUCUACCCGGUAGUGGGGGAUAACCUGGGGAAACCCAGGCUAAUACCGCAUACGUCCUACGGGAGAAAGCAGGGGAUCUUCGGACCUUGCGCUAUCGGAUGAGCCUAUGUCGGAUUAGCUAGUUGGUGAGGUAACGGCUCACCAAGGCUGCGAUCCGUAGCUGGUCUGAGAGGAUGAUCAGCCACAUCGGGACUGAGACACGGCCCGAACUCCUACGGGAGGCAGCAGUGGGGAAUAUUGGACAAUGGGCGAAAGCCUGAUCCAGCCAUGCCGCGUGUGUGAAGAAGGCCUUCGGGUUGUAAAGCACUUUCAGUGAGGAAGAAAGCCUUGAGGCUAAUACCCUUGAGGGAGGACAUCACUCACAGAAGAAGCACCGGCUAACUCCGUGCCAGCAGCCGCGGUAAUACGGAGGGUGCGAGCGUUAAUCGGAAUUACUGGGCGUAAAGCGCGCGUAGGCGGCUUGAUAAG